UCACAUUAGGAAACCUUCUUAAAAAUAAAGCUGUUUUAGCAGGAAAGGCCAAGGAGAAGCCCUGAAGCUGUCCUCUCCCUACCCCUGCCAAUAAACUACACACCAUUCAUAAAGCAGCUCUUAGAAUGUCCUGGGACAUGGGAGAGACUAAGCAUCUGAGCAUGGGACAUCAAGUGACUAUAUAUCCAGGUUUGCCCAUCAUGAGCUGGGAGAUUGUCAGACUCUUCCAUUCACAAGCCUUGGAAUUUCUGAGCCCAGGCGGAAACCCCAGAGACCUGAAUUAGCCUUCACUGAAUGUAGAGGAAUAAUGGCCUCUUCCAACAUGUCCACGCCCUGAUUUCAGAACCUGUGUAUAUGUUACCUUACGUGGCAGAAGGGACUUUGAAGAUGUGGUUAAAGUUAAAGAUCUUGAGAUGGGGAGAGUAGCCUGGGUUAUCCAAGUGGGCCCAAUCUAAUAAAAUGGACCUUAGAAGCAGAAAAUGUUUCCCAGUUGUGAUUAGGGAGACAGUAGAAGAAGGAGGAAAGAUUGGAAGUGUGAAAGGACAAACCCACUCUUGCUGGCUUUGAAGAUGGAGGAGGGGACCAUUACCAAGAAAUGUGUCUCUUCUAGAAGUCUUCUAGAAAUGUGACUUCUUCUAGAAGUCAGGAAUGGCCCUCAGCUGACAGCUGGCAAGAGAAUGGGAAUCUCAGCCUUACAAGGAACUGAAUUAUGCCAACAACCCGCAUGAGUCAGAAAACGGAUCUUGCCUUGGACCCUCCAUAAAGGGUCCCUGGCAACACUUUGAUUUUAUCCUAGAGAGAUUGUAUUGGACUUGAGACUU
rnacentral:lncRNA from 1 species